rnacentral:rRNA from 1 species
UACGGAGGGUGCUAGCGUUGUUCGGAAUCACUGGGCGUAAAGGGCGUGUAGGCGGUCUGUUAAGUCUGAUGUGAAAUCCCCUCGCUCAACGAGGGAACUGCGUCGGAUACUGGCAGACUCGAGUACCGGAGAGGAAGGUGGAAUUCCCGGUGUAGCGGUGAAAUGCGUAGAUAUCAGGAGGAACACCGGUGGCGAAGGCGGGUCUCUGGGCCGAAACUGACGCUGGAGGAGCGAAAGCGUGGGGAGCGAACAGG